rnacentral:rRNA from 1 species
GACGAACGCUGGCGGCGUGCCUAAUACAUGCAAGUAGAACGCUGAAGGAGGAGCUUGCUUCUCUGGAUGAGUUGCGAACGGGUGAGUAACGCGUAGGUAACCUGCCUGGUAGCGGGGGAUAACUAUUGGAAACGAUAGCUAAUACCGCAUAAGAGUAGAUGUUGCAUGACAUUUGCUUAAAAGGUGCAAUUGCAUCACUACCAGAUGGACCUGCGUUGUAUUAGCUAGUUGGUGGGGUAACGGCUCACCAAGGCGACGAUACAUAGCCGACCUGAGAGGGUGAUCGGCCACACUGGGACUGAGACACGGCCCAGACUCCUACGGGAGGCAGCAGUAGGGAUUCUUCGGCAAUGGACGGAAGUCUGACCGAGCAACGCCGCGUGAGUGAAGAAGGUUUUCGGAUCGUAAAGCUCUGUUGUAAGAGAAGAACGAGUGUGAGAGUGGAAAGUUCACACUGUGACGGUAUCUUACCAGAAAGGGACGGCUAACUACGUG